GAUAGAAUUAGGGAUUUUUUUUACUUGUUUAUAAUUUAGUCCUGAUUGUUUAAUAUUCAAAGAGAGAACACAUUUAUUAUUUUGAACUAGGUAUAUAAUAGUAUAUUUAAACUGAGUGGAUAAGGAGUUUAGUAAAUAGGUACUAAUGCUGUUUCACAGUACUCUCUCUGCCAUCAAAUUGGUGUCAAAAUUUUCUUAUUAAGUUUAAGAAUACAAAAAUAUAUCAUGUCAAUAUGUUAAAGACUUUAAGUUUUUCUUUUCACAUUUUCUAGUACAUUUUUAUAGCUUAUGAUUUGGAGAUAGAGUACAUUUUUAUUGAUAACAUAUUCAGUUAGUACUUCAUGCACAAAUAAGUGGAAGCCACUUAUUCUGAGAGCAAUUAGUAGCAUAUCUCUUGAUAACAGUGAUAAAAACUGGUUAAGAAUGGAGCUCCAGUCUGAGAAGUAGGGAUGAUAUGCAGGGAAGAUAGGCCCUAAAUAGAUUUGACUCCAUGGAUAUUUAGGGGAUUCAUAAAGAACUGACAAAAAAUAGGGGAAUUCUUGAGGAUCUAGUCUUGACCCAAGGAGAAGACUAGCAAAAUUUCAAUAAUCAAGAUUUUCCAGGUAUUUGCAAAAUUAGCACCAUGAAAAAUGAUGAAUCAUUUCUGAUAAUGUUUCAUAAAUAACAAUUUUUCAAUAAACCUAUAAAGCUAAUUAUUAUCUUAGCACAUUUGAUGUUGGUGGAAUCCUUCCAAAAUAGUGUUGUAAACAUAAAUGUUAUACUGCUUCAUAAUUUACCAAUUACAUCUAUCAUGUUUCAUUAGUACAUUUUAUUACUUUGGGCAGAGAUCAUAGAUUGCUGAUGUAGCUGCAAGAGUUCAGGCUCCAAUAAUCAUUCUAUUCUGUAGAAAUGAAAUUAAGGCAGAAUUCAGAUGUCAUGCUUUAAGUGUCAGUUAUUCCCAUAUUAUCAAUCAACAUAAAUCAAGGUCUUCUAAUGUCAUUAAUAUGGUCUGUUAUACCUCAGGAGAAUACUGAAAGCAAGAAAUGAGAAACAUAUUUUCACUUCACACAUUUACUUUUUUCUUACAGAAGAACAAUAGCAUGUUUUGAAGGAUAGAUUAUAUCAUGUUAGUUUUGGUGUUAAACACUUUCAGGCUACUAAGAUAUUCCUUAAAAUGAAUAAGUUUAAACCAACAAAUGAGGCAUAAUGAUCAUAAUUCACUGGCUGCAGAACUUAAUAAUAAUGAAAAAUAAUGUUUAUUGAGCGUCUGUUAUGUAUUACAGCAACACUGUCCAGACACAGUUCACCCUUGAACAAAACAAAGGUUAGGGGAGCUGACCCCUGCACAAUUAGUAGUCUGCAUAUAACUUUCAACUCCUCAAAAAUUUAACUACUACCAAACUAUUGUUGAUUAGAAGUCUUACACCUUACCAAUAACAUAAACAGUCGAUUAACACAUAUUUUGUAUGUUAUAUAUUGUAGAUAUUAUAUUUUUCCAAUAAAGUGAGCUAGAGAAAACAAAAUUUUAUUAAGACAAUCAUAAGGAAAAUAAAAUAGAUUUACUAAGUCUUUAUUCUUGUUAUCUUCACACUGAGUGAGCUGAGGAGAAAGAAGAGGAGGAGUUCGUAUUCCUGUCUAAGGGGAGGCAGAGGCAGAAGAAAAGUCAGCUUCAGCCUUGACAUGAAAAUAACAUGAAAGCCAUCACUCUUCUACUUGCAAGAAAAACUGGGACAAAUAAAAGGUCUGACAGAGAGAGAGAAAGCAUGACCAGAGUAAAACAUGCCCAGACAUUUCCAUAACAAAGGCCAAUUCUCCAAGGUGAAGAAGUUUUCGAGUCGUAUGCCCAUUGGAAGAAGGGCAUAUCAACAACGUCCAGGGCUUCCAGGAAAGAAUUUUGUUAUUCUUCAGCCGGAGAAGGAUGCAGGAGGUCAAGGGAAUAGAACAGGAAAUACAUGUUUGAAGUUAGCCACCUUAAGACACAGAUCUACUGAAAGACUGAGAUUUAGUUGGAAGAUAUGGGAACAUUUUCCAUCCCUCGUACCUUAAGUCCACACCAACAGUUUCAAUAUAUUAUUAGUGAGUGGGUUACAGGUGCAAGAGCCACAGAACACAGACUGUUUCAGGGGUACCUAGAGAAGGCUGAAGAGGUGAGAUAGAAUGAGCGCGCUAAAGGAAUUUGAAGUAUCUGGCACCUGCAGCUAUAGCAAACAUUAAACGUGGCUCAAUUCCUAGACCAAUUAGUAUAAAUAUACACA